rnacentral:rRNA from 1 species
GAUGAACGCUGGCGGUCUGCUUAACACAUGCAAGUCGAACGGAGUUCUUCGGAACUUAGUGGCGGACGGGUGAGUAACGCGUGAGAAUCUGCCCUUAGGUUGGGGGACAACAGUUGGAAACGACUGCUAAUACCCAAUGUGCCGAGAGGUGAAAGCUUUAGUGCCUGAGGAUGAGCUCGCGUCUGAUUAGCUAGUUGGAGGGGUAACGGCCCACCAAGGCGACGAUCAGUAGCUGGUCUGAGAGGAUGAUCAGCCACACUGGGACUGAGACACGGCCCAGACACCUACGGGUGGCUG